rnacentral:pre_miRNA from 1 species
CAUCUACUCCCUCCGUUCGGAAUUACUUGUCUCGGAAAUGGAUGUAUCUAGAACUAAAAUACAUCUAGAUACAUCCAUUUCCGAGACAAGUAAUUCUGAACGGAGAGAGUAGAUC